GACGAACGCUGGCGGCGUGCUUAACACAUGCAAGUCGAACGGAAAGGCCCUGCUUUUGUGGGGUGCUCGAGUGGCGAACGGGUGAGUAACACGUGAGUAACCUGCCCUUGACUUUGGGAUAACUUCAGGAAACUGGGGCUAAUACCGGAUAGGAGCUCCUGCUGCAUGGUGGGGGUUGGAAAGUUUCGGCGGUUGGGGAUGGACUCGCGGCUUAUCAGCUUGUUGGUGGGGUAGUGGCUUACCAAGGCUUUGACGGGUAGCCGGCCUGAGAGGGUGACCGGCCACAUUGGGACUGAGGGACGGCCCAGACUCCUACGGGAGGCAGCAGUGGGGAAUAUUGCACAAUGGGCGGAAGCGUGAUGCAGCAACGCCGCGUUCGGGAUGACGGCUUUCGGGUUGUAAACCGCUUUCGCCUGUGACGAAGCGUGAGUGACGGUAAUGGGUAAAGAAGCACCGGCUAACUACGUG
rnacentral:rRNA from 1 species